CAGUUCGUCCUCGACUUCCAACCAUGGUCCUUCCGUCGAUACAUGAUUCAUUUCACAUCGAUCCUCAUCCCAUCGGAGGAACUCUUUGAGUCUCUCGGCGUCAUGAACAUUUGGGUCAAGCUUGAAGGUUUACCAGUGGCAUGACGUACUACAGCUGUGGGUCGACGACUUCUGGCUCCUUUUGGUGAGAUAAUUAAGAUUGGUUAUUUUGAUGCUAAUCUCCCCAGUGGUUUCUACGUCAAGGGUUUGGUUCGGAUGGAUAUCUUGGAUUCAUUCACAGGCACAAUUGAAGCUUGUGAUGACGCUGGCCGGACUUAUCCGGUUUACUUUCAAUACGUCAAUGUACCUUGUAUUUGCUUUCAAUGUGGUUACUUGGGAUGUAUUGUUGUUGAAUCUGAUAGACAGGGCCUGGCUGUUGUUCCACCUUCGAGGGAUGCGUGGAUUUCCAUAUCAUACGACAAAGAAGAAGAGAAAGUCGAUGGUCCAGGUUUGCAAGCCGUCGUUCAACCGCAUCAAAUAGCUCGUCGAGGUCGCGCUCGCAUUGUACCGCCAACCGUCCAAGUGGGACUCUCUGUUACUUUUAUAAGAGCUCGCGCGGGACAUCGUGGUACGGGUCGAAGUGGCCGGGGUCGAGGACCUACUACUACACAACGAUUACCUCUUGCUUUACCCGGGCUCUCCGGAUUCCAUCAAUCGGCCAAUUCAUCUGCUUCCUCCAUUGAUUCAAGCGCUGCGAUGAAUGCAAACCAAGACCCGCUUGAUCCACAUCUCCAACCAAGUCUCCAACCCUCACUAUCCAACCCGCCUACUGAUCACUCCAACAGAAAUUCCAAUGGUCCCUCGAUCCAGACCAAACGGAAGUUAUUACCUGAAGAAAAAGGCAAAGCAAAGGCUACAUAUUCACAAGACUCGACCAUCAAAACAUACAGACGUAGGGGGGUUGCCCUCGUCAUCCGCGAGCCAACUGAAGAAGAAUCU
rnacentral:lncRNA from 1 species